rnacentral:lncRNA from 1 species
AUAGAUCGAACAGAUGCACGUAAACAGCUAGCAAGAAAUGGGAAGUAAUCAGUAAAAAUGCAUUUAAGUCAUGGAAUGAGUCACUUAAAAGAUUUAGUGCUACUGCUAUGAGUACAUCGCAAGAAAAAAUUUAGUGCUGAUUUGAAUAUAACUCACUGCAAUGUGAUUUAAGUCUCAGAUUUUUGAACAGGGCUAGAGUAACUAUUCUAGUAUUAAAUAUGCUUACUAAUUCACAAUUGCACGACACAAAUAUCAGUAGAAUAUAUAUAAAAGGUUUACGUUAUUGUUUUUCCCCUUUUAAAUUCGAGAGCAUGUUUAACUCACAUGAAAGAAUGAAGGUUUAUCUGAGUGAAAAAAUUACCUAAGAACAUAAAUAUCAGCUGGUUCAUCUAUAUCCAGCCAUUCUUCAAUAUCCAAUUCAUUGGGUUGACAUACGCCUCAAUGUUCCAUGUUCCUACACAGAUCAUGUAUUAUCAAGACUUUGCGGAUUAAAUGAUAGAACAUCACUCCAAACUACAAACUACAGAAUAAUAAGUAGCAUGCUUUUACAUAUUU